CUCCUGCAAAAGUUAGUUAGUCACCAUUUGGUUACCUCAUAUGGACUUGAGCUGAUUUUCACCAUCCUGCUCGAAUUCUCCUCCUCCGAUGGUUGGGGGCAUCCAUCAACCAGGCCCUCCUUAGAAUUCGAGCCCAUCGGAAGCCCCAGAUAACCCCCUAGUAAUUAUGUGAAUUUCUUCUCGGAUGAAUUGCUCUUCUUCCACCACCUACCCUCCAACAUGCUGUCGCUCCUGUCAUG
rnacentral:lncRNA from 1 species